rnacentral:rRNA from 1 species
UACAGAGGUGCCAAGCGUUAGGCGGAAUCACUGGGCUUAAAGCGCGUGUAGGUGGACGGGUAAGUAUCUUGUGAAAUCCCACGGCUCAACCGUGGAACUGCUGGAUAUACUGCUUGUCUUGAGGCACUUAGGGGCAGCUGGAACAAAUGGUGGAGCGGUGAAAUGCGUAGAUAUCAGGAAGAACAUCGGUGGCGAAGGCGCUCUGCUGGACCAUAACUGACACUCAGGGACGAAAGCUAGGGGAGCGAACAGG